AACGAACGCUGGCGGCAUGCCUAACACAUGCAAGUCGAACGAAGGCUUCGGCCUUAGUGGCGCACGGGUGCGUAACGCGUGGGAAUCUGCCCCUCGGUUCGGAAUAACAGUUAGAAAUGACUGCUAAUACCGGAUGAUGACGUAAGUCCAAAGAUUUAUCGCCGAGGGAUGAGCCCGCGUAGGAUUAGGUAGUUGGUGGGGUAAAGGCCCACCAAGCCGACGAUCCUUAGCUGGUCUGAGAGGAUGAUCAGCCACACUGGGACUGAGACACGGCCCAGACUCCUACGGGAGGCAGCAGUGGGGAAUAUUGGACAAUGGGCGAAAGCCUGAUCCAGCAAUGCCGCGUGAGUGAUGAAGGCCUUAGGGUUGUAAAGCUCUUUUACCAGGGAUGAUAAUGACAGUACCUGGAGAAUAAGCUCCGGCUAACUCCGUGCCAGCCGCCGCAGUAAGAC
rnacentral:rRNA from 1 species